UGUCUCUUGGAAUAUUUGGUUUUAAGUUUAGAGUCGAAAAUAUUUAAUUAAUUCUUUCUAUUUCAAAUUUGACAUUGGUCAUAUAUAUUACCAUGUUGAGGCUGUUCUUUUGUGGUUCUUUUACUAUUAGGGGUUUAGACUUGUUUACGUAGGUGGGUGAAAUUACUCUUAUAUGUAUUGUAAUCACUUUGACUAUAAUUUUCUUUUCAUUUGAUGAAAAAUUAAGUAGCAUUUGUUUGAAAUCUUGAUUUUGUGCUCUUCUUGA